rnacentral:rRNA from 1 species
AGGGAAUCUUCCGCAAUGGACGAAAGUCUGACGGAGCAACGCCGCGUGAGUGAUGAAGGCCUUCGGGUCGUAAAACUCUGUUGUCAUGGAAGAAUAAGUACCGGAGUAACUGCCGGUACCUUGACGGUACCUGACCAGAAAGCCACGGCUAACUACGUGCCAGCAGCCGCGGUAAUACGUAGGUGGCAAGCGUUGUCCGGAAUUAUUGGGCGUAAAGCGCGCGCAGGCGGUCCUUUAAGUCUGAUGUGAAAGCCCACGGCUCAACCGUGGAGGGUCAUUGGAAACUGGGGGACUUGAGUGCAGAAGAGGAAAGCGGAAUUCCACGUGUAGCGGUGAAAUGCGUAGAGAUGUGGAGGAACACCAGUGGCGAAGGCGGCUUUCUGGUCUGUAACUGACGCUGAGGCGCGAAAGCGUGGGGAGCAAAC